GUAGGUGAACCUGCGGAAGGAUCAUUAACAAAUUGUCCACACCCCACGUCUUGUGAACCGUUACCCCAUCCUUGGCGAGAAUCCUAGGCCGGGAGGUACAACCCUCUUAGCCCGGGGACUCGUCAUCUGUUUACGCAUUGAUUUAAACUGAGACUUAGACUUUAUUUUAAAUAAAGACAACUUUUAGCAACGGAUCUCUUGGCUCUC
rnacentral:misc_RNA from 1 species